CCCAUGUGAAAAUUUAAAAUUGUUUCUAUUAAUAAAAUUAACGGUACCAAUUUUGUUGCACCAGAUGCGCAUUUCGACAAUACAUGUCUCUUAAGUGAUGCUCGUGGCCAAAAUAUUUAAAAUCCAAAGCUUAUAUAAAAGAUGAAGAGCUAUAAUCCAAAAGGUCCAAAAAGUAUAGCCAAAUCCGUGAAAGGAAUCAGAGCUUUGCAUGAGGGAGAU
rnacentral:lncRNA from 1 species